rnacentral:tRNA from 1 species
UGUGGUGGCACAGUGGUUAAGUGUUUGGCUGCUAACCAAACUGUCGGCAGUUCGAUUCUGCCAACCACUA